rnacentral:rRNA from 1 species
UACGUAGGGUGCAAGCGUUAUCCGGAAUUAUUGGGCGUAAAGAGCUCGUAGGCGGUUUGUCGCGUCUGCUGUGAAAACUGGAGGCUCAACCUCCAGCCUGCAGUGGGUACGGGCAGACUAGAGUGCGGUAGGGGAGAUUGGAAUUCCUGGUGUAGCGGUGGAAUGCGCAGAUAUCAGGAGGAACACCAAUGGCGAAGGCAGAUCUCUGGGCCGUAACUGACGCUGAGGAGCGAAGGCAUGGGGAGCGAACAGG